GACGAACGCUGGCGGCGUGCCUAAUACAUGCAAGUUGAGCGCUGAAGGUUGGUACUUGUACCAACUGGAUGAGCAGCGAACGGGUGAGUAACGCGUGGGGAAUCUGCCUUUGAGCGGGGGACAACAUUUGGAAACGAAUGCUAAUACCGCAUAAAAACUUUAAACACAAGUUUUAAGUUUGAAAGAUGCAAUUACAUCACUCAAAGAUGAUCCCGCGUUGUAUUAGCUAGUUGGUGAGGUAAAGGCUCACCAAGGCGAUGAUACAUAGCCGACCUGAGAGGGUGAUCGGCCACAUUGGGACUGAGACACGGCCCAAACUCCUACGGGAGGCAGCAGUAGGGAAUCUUCGGCAAUGGACGAAAGUCUGACCGAGCAACGCCGCGUGAGUGAAGAAGGGUUUCGGAUCGUAAAACUCUGUUGGUAGAGAAGAACGUUGGUGAGAGUGGAAAGCUCAUCAAGUGACGGUAACUACCCAGAAAGGGACGGCUAACUACGUG
rnacentral:rRNA from 1 species